GUAACAUUUGAACACUGCACAGUCAAAGCAUCUACUCAUGAAGGCAAAAAAUGCCCCUGGGUCACAUCCUAGCAUUUGAAGAGUCAUAUAGAAAAUAAGUGUAUUUCUGUGAUGGAGAGAAGUUGGAGAGAACAGAACAUUUGCCCUAGAUGAAUGAAAGCACUUUGAUGUGCAGAACUGUUUUAUGGUCAUCUUUGAAUCUCUGCUGCUCAGCACAAUGCCCAACACAUAGUAGAUUUAUGGAAACACAUUAAAGACAAAUGAAAAAAGAAGGCAUUGCUUGGAUGAGCUAUGACCACCAUCACUGAAAGGAGUGCCUUUAUUGAAGAGAUCAUGAAUCCCAAUGGAAGGUUAUGCUCCAUCAGCUUGACGACAUGUGAUAAGUACAACAGGGCAUCCUCACUGAAGCAGAUAAAGGUCUAAUUUCAUCUUAACUGCUGCCUCUUCCAAGUUGCCUCAUGGCCACUGAAACCCUUAAGCCUAUUGGAUUUCCAUGUAUGUGUAUUUCUUUGCUUCUGUGUGAUCUCAGCAGGGAUAAAUGAACCCAGGAUAUUAAAAUGUAAUUUGUUCAGAUCUCUGCCUUCGGGGUGAGCAUGAAGAUGCUGCUAUCAGCCAGAAAAUUUGUGAUCUAAUUUAGAAGCAAUGAAGCAUGCUCUCUUUUCUC
ensembl:lncRNA